GAUGUGCUCGCGGCCUAUCAGCUUGUUGGUGAGGUAACGGCUCACCAAGGCUUCGACGGGUAGCCGGCCUGAGAGGGUGACCGGCCACACUGGGACUGAGACACGGCCCAGACUCCUACGGGAGGCAGCAGUGGGGAAUAUUGGACAACGGGCGAAAGCCUGAUCCAGCAACGCCGCGUGAGGGAUGACGGCCUUCGGGUUGUAAACCUCUUUCAGUACCGACGAAGCGCCUCUAGGGGUGGUGACGGUAGGUACAGAAGAAGGACCGGCCAACUACGUGCCAGCAGCCGCGGUAAUACGUAGGGUCCGAGCGUUGUCCGGAAUUAUUGGGCGUAAAGGGCUCGUAGGCGGUCUGUCGCGUCGGGAGUGAAAUUUUACAGCUUAACUGUGAACGUGCUUUCGAUACGGGCAGACUUGAGGUAUUCAGGGGAGAACGGAAUUCCUGGUGUAGCGGUGAAAUGCGCAGAUAUCAGGAGGAACACCGGUGGCGAAGGCGGUUCUCUGGGAAUAUCCUGACGCUGAGGAGCGAAAGUGUGGGGAGCGAACAGGAUUAGAUACCCUGGUAGUCCACACCGUAAACGUUGGGCGCUAGGUGU
rnacentral:rRNA from 1 species